rnacentral:lncRNA from 10 species
ACCUCUACAAGGGUGCGCCUGGACCAGUUGGACCAGCCACCAACCUCACCCACUGAAGGAAGCAGGGAUGGCCAGGUUCCCACAGCCUGAGUGGCUGCCACCUGAGGGCUGAUGGAGCAGAGGCCUGAGUAAAAUCAGAUGGCAUGUUUAACUCUUUAAUAGAUCUUAGGUUAAUUUUUCUAUAAAGCAGAUGUCACUAGUCCAUGUCUCAGAGCUUGUAUGGCAGUGCAGACCACAGAAGGCUGAG